GUGACAGCAGCAGAAAUCAGAAAAUACACAUAAGAGAAGACCAAGACAUUUUAAUCUGAUCAGACAGCUCUCGUACAACCAAUUCAGUACAAACACUAAGGCUACAGCAGAGAGUUAUUUUGAAUACAGGGCUAAAUGCAACAACAACAACAACAAAAUGCAAUGAGAAAGAAAUACGAUGGCAAGGGAGAAGAAAUCUGGUGGAGGCAGAGAGUGGUGUGAGCAGAGAUGGAGCAGUUGUGGUCUACAUGCUGCAGAAAGCAUCAUUCAACAAGUGUUGAUGAAUGUCAGUGGGUGCAAUUUUCAUUACGAUGGAGGAAUUCAGUGGCACACCUUUGCUUCCAUACACAGUUUAAUGACAGACUGCAUUCUGUCAAACUGCCCCUCUGCUGACAUCUGUCACAUGGCAAAACUUUCGACACAAUAUGGUGGCAAGGUUCAGCCUUUACUGAGAUUCCACCAACCUUUGAUGUUGUUCGCCAACGGAAGAAAACAGGAGGUAUUACUUUCAGAGCAGCCCUCGUAUAUUUGUAUGUGGUGUGAUUCUUAUUACUUUUGAACAACAUAAUUAAUGCAAAAAACAAAAAAACAAUAUAACUGUAACAGUAUGCACAUGCAUCAAGGUAACGUAAGAUCCUCUUAUUGUAAGAUUUUAUUGACAUGAUACUGAUUUAGAGAUAAAGAUGCAAAUAUAUGUUUUCCUUAUAGGUUAGGAGGUAAAGUCUUUUUGGAUAAAUAUAAUCUUUUUUGUAUCUCAUUGAAUGGCAGAGUGCUGACUACACAUAUUGAAGUCAUUUCAAUUCAAUAACAAAGGGGAAAAAAUAAGAGAUGUGCUGUUCUUUACAUAUUGGUGUUUCAAAUUCAUAGGCUUUACUAGAAUUUUAUAUCCAAAUCUUGAGUUUUCCUGAAUUACUCAUGGUAGAUUCUUUUUUCUCAUUCUUAAAAUACAACUGGCCUUCGAAUGAGUUAGGAUUUAUUCCACUUAACUGUCUCAAAUAGAGUAUAGAGAUUCUUUUACUAGUCAAUCGAGAGAUAAGUAAGUCUACUAAAUUUAGAUUAAUUCCACAAGAUAAGCAACUCUAAUAAAUUUAGAUUAGUCCCACUUAUUUUAGGAAGG
ensembl:lncRNA